UACGGAGGGGGCUAGCGUUGUUCGGAAUUACUGGGCGUAAAGCGCACGUAGGCGGCUUUGUAAGUUAGAGGUGAAAGCCCGGGGCUCAACUCCGGAAUUGCCUUUAAGACUGCAUCGCUAGAAUUGUGGAGAGGUAAGUGGAAUUCCGAGUGUAGAGGUGAAAUUCGUAGAUAUUCGGAAGAACACCAGUGGCGAAGGCGGCUUACUGGACAGAUAUUGGCGCUGAGGUGCGAAAGCGUGGGGAGCAAACAGG
rnacentral:rRNA from 1 species